GUCAUCAGGGAAACAGAGCUGCCAGGAUCAGCUGAAGCGCUGAGUCGUCCAUGUGCAAAUAAUGGUGCAGUGCUAAUCCAGCCCCCUGGACUGGUGGCAGUGGUCCCUCCCAUCCCUUGACCCUUCCCAAGCUCCCACCUGUCCCAGUGCUAUGUCAUCCAGCUCAGAGGCAACAGAAGGACAACACUGUGUGUUGGGAGACAGGUCUGCCCGGCGGGCACACAGCUGUCAAGUCGGCCCUUGGGAAGGGACCUCCCGAGGGGAGCCACAGCCUGCCAUGUCCUGCUGACACUGACUCUUUGCUGGUGAGCUUGCGCUUUCUCAGGAGGUCUCAAUGUCACCUAUUCCAGUAAAGAUUAUGUGUACCCGUGUCUUGUCUCCCAAAGAUGCUCUUCCUGUCCUGUGUACAGAGUCUCCUGGGGACAUUCCCCCCACCUGGGAAAUGGUCACCCACUUCUCUGUGCUACAGGAGCCAGGGGAUCCGAGCAAGGUGGAUUAACCAGCUCAGCUUGCCCAGUCGGAUUUCUCUCCCCGGGAAUUGGAAAUUGGAAUUUGGUGAGACUCCAUUGGCCCCCAAACUGAGGACUUAUAAUUAGAAACUGGAGAGGCAUCUGCCACCAUUGGCCAAAGAAGAAGAGAAAGCUGAUCUAUAUUCUCUAGAAGGCUCUUUUGCAGAGAGAGAAGAAUGAAACAGAGGAGCUGAGAGAAGUGGAGACUCGUGCAGUUCUGGAGAAGGGGCUGCAAGAGCCACUGUCUGGCCCAGCCCUGCGGGUCUGGUGCUGGCCCCUUGGCUCUAUGAGAGUCUCUGGACCAUUGGACGGUGGUGCCCAUUUUUGUUUAAGUAGAGUGGCUUUCUUACCACCAAACAAGCCUGAACUAAGGCCCUGCGCUUAAAAGGAAUCUCCGAGAUUGUUUCAUCAACACUCGCCAGUUUACAAUGAGGAUUCUGAGAUCCAGAGAGGUGCAGUGAGGUACCCUCGGCCAUAUAGCCUAUUCAUGACAAUGGUUUCCUGACUCCUGGGCCAGUGGUGCUCUGUGGCUCCCUGGGGCUGGCUGUACUUCCAAGGGCAAUAAGAUGAGAGAGAAGGAGGACAGACCUCAGGGGCCGCUGAAUCAGGACAUGCGUCAGUGGUGUGGCCACAGACUGAGCAGUGAGUCUGAAAGCUCCACCCCAGCUCCAACCACAGAGGACCCGGCAGGUGAAGCAGGUGGAGGCAAUGGAGCAGGAUGGGAAGAGAAAGAUGGCCCAGGAAGGACCCUUAAGAAUAGAGACACGGUCAGGUGAGGUCACCCCAAAUCCUUUCUGAUGGGAAGCACCUUGGACCUUUCGAUUUCCUGGAAGCGGCCAGUGAAAUCCCACUCCAUCUUCAUGUUCACCUGAGAAGGGGGUGAAUUAACUCCGCCCAAAGGACAAUUUAAAAGGACAAUAGAGGCAUUCCCAUCGUGGC